rnacentral:rRNA from 1 species
GAUUCCUACGGGAGGCAGCAGUGGGGAAUAUUGCGCAAUGGGCGGAAGCCUGACGCAGCGACGCCGCGUGAGGGAUGAAGGCCCUGCGGGUCGCAGACCUCUUUGGACGGGGAGCAAGGCCGCCGACGUGUCGGCGGAAGGAGAGUACCCGUAGAACAAGCAUCGGCUAACUCCGUGCCAGCAGCCGCGGUAAUACGGAGGAUGCGAGCGUUAUCCGGAUUUAUUGGGUUUAAAGGGUGCGCAGGCGUCACGGCAAGCCGGCGGUCAAAUC